rnacentral:rRNA from 1 species
AUUGAACGCUGGCGGAAUGCUUUACACAUGCAAGUCGAACGGUAGAGGGGGCAACCCCUUGAGAGUGGCGAACGGGUGAGUAAUAUAUCGGAACGUGCCCAGUCGUGGGGGAUAACGUAGCGAAAGUUACGCUAAUACCGCAUACGAUCUAAGGAUGAAAGCGGGGGACUCGCAAGAGCCUCGCGCGAUUGGAGCGGCCGAUAUCAGAUUAGGUAGUUGGUGGGGUAAAGGCUCACCAAGCCAACGAUCUGUAGCUGGUCUGAGAGGACGACCAGCCACACUGGAACUGAGACACGGUCCAGACUCCUACGGGAGGCAGCAGUGGGGAAUUUUGGACAAUGGACGCAAGUCUGAUCCAGCCAUUCCGCGUGCAGGAUGAAGGCCUUCGGGUUGAAAACUGCUUUUGUACGGAACGAAAAGGUCUCUCUUAAUACGAGGGGCUCAUGACG